UUGUGAGGUUAAGCGACUAAGCGUACACGGUGGAUGCCCUGGCAGUCAGAGGCGAUGAAGGGCGUGCUAAUCUGCGAUAAGCGCCGGUAAGGUGAUAUGAACCGUUAUAACCGGCGAUACCCGAAUGGGGAAACCCAGUGUGAUUCGUCACACUAUCAUUAACUGAAUCCAUAGGUUAAUGAGGCGAACCGGGGGAACUGAAACAUCUAAGUACCCCGAGGAAAAGAAAUCAACCGAGAUUCCCCCAGUAGCGGCGAGCGAACGGGGAGGAGCCCAGAGCCUGAAUCAGCAUGUGUGUUAGUGGAAGCGUCUGGAAAGGCGCGCGAUACAGGGUGACAGCCCCGUACACAAAAGCGCAUGUGCUGUGAGCUCGAUGAGUAGGGCGGGACACGUGGUAUCCUGUCUGAAUAUGGGGGGACCAUCCUCCAAGGCUAAAUACUCCUGACUGACCGAUAGUGAACCAGUACCGUGAGGGAAAGGCGAAAAGAACCCCGGCGAGGGGAGUGAAAAAGAACCUGAAACCGUGUACGUACAAGCAGUGGGAGCACCCUUUGGGUGUGACUGCGUACCUUUUGUAUAAUGGGUCAGCGACUUAUAUUCUGUAGCAAGGUUAACCGAAUAGGGGAGCCGGAGGGAAACCGAGUCUUAAUUGGGCGUUAAGUUGCAGGGUAUAGACCCGAAACCCGGUGAUCUAGCCAUGGGCAGGUUGAAGGUUGGGUAACACUAACUGGAGGACCGAACCGACUAAUGUUGAAAAAUUAGCGGAUGACCUGUGGCUGGGGGUGAAAGGCCAAUCAAACCGGGAGAUAGCUGGUUCUCCCCGAAAGCUAUUUAGGUAGCGCCUCGUGAAUUCAUCUCCGGGGGUAGAGCACUGUUUCGGCUAGGGGGCCAUCCCGGCUUACCAACCCGAUGCAAACUGCGAAUACCGGAGAAUGUUAUCACGGGAGACACACGGCGGGUGCUAACGUCCGUCGUGAAGAGGGAAACAACCCAGACCGCCAGCUAAGGUCCCAAAGUCAUGGUUAAGUGGGAAACGAUGUGGGAAGGCCCAGACAGCCAGGAUGUUGGCUUAGAAGCAGCCAUCAUUUAAAGAAAGCGUAAUAGCUCACUGGUCGAGUCGGCCUGCGCGGAAGAUGUAACGGGGCUAAACCAUGCACCGAAGCUGCGGCAGCGACACUGUGUGUUGUUGGGUAGGGGAGCGUUCUGUAAGCCUGUGAAGGUGUGUCGUGAGGCAUGCUGGAGGUAUCAGAAGUGCGAAUGCUGACAUAAGUAACGAUAAAGCGGGUGAAAAGCCCGCUCGCCGGAAGACCAAGGGUUCCUGUCCAACGUUAAUCGGGGCAGGGUGAGUCGACCCCUAAGGCGAGGCCGAAAGGCGUAGUCGAUGGGAAACGGGUUAAUAUUCCCGUACUUGGUGUUACUGCGAAGGGGGGACGGAGAAGGCUAUGUUGGCCGGGCGACGGUUGUCCCGGUUUAAGCGUGUAGGUGUGUGUUCCAGGUAAAUCCGGUUCACUUUAACACUGAGGCGUGACGACGAGGCACUACGGUGCUGAAGCAACAAAUGCCCUGCUUCCAGGAAAAGCCUCUAAGCAUCAGGUAACAUCAAAUCGUACCCCAAACCGACACAGGUGGUCAGGUAGAGAAUACCAAGGCGCUUGAGAGAACUCGGGUGAAGGAACUAGGCAAAAUGGUGCCGUAACUUCGGGAGAAGGCACGCUGACACGUAGGUGAAGUGAUUUACUCAUGGAGCUGAAGUCAGUCGAAGAUACCAGCUGGCUGCAACUGUUUAUUAAAAACACAGCACUGUGCAAACACGAAAGUGGACGUAUACGGUGUGACGCCUGCCCGGUGCCGGAAGGUUAAUUGAUGGGGUCAGCGCAAGCGAAGCUCCUGAUCGAAGCCCCGGUAAACGGCGGCCGUAACUAUAACGGUCCUAAGGUAGCGAAAUUCCUUGUCGGGUAAGUUCCGACCUGCACGAAUGGCGUAAUGAUGGCCAGGCUGUCUCCACCCGAGACUCAGUGAAAUUGAACUCGCUGUGAAGAUGCAGUGUACCCGCGGCAAGACGGAAAGACCCCGUGAACCUUUACUAUAGCUUGACACUGAACAUUGAGCCUUGAUGUGUAGGAUAGGUGGGAGGCUUUGAAGUGUGGACGCCAGUCUGCAUGGAGCCGACCUUGAAAUACCACCCUUUAAUGUUUGAUGUUCUAACGUGGACCCGUUACCCGGGUUGCGGACAGUGUCUGGUGGGUAGUUUGACUGGGGCGGUCUCCUCCUAAAGAGUAACGGAGGAGCACGAAGGUUGGCUAAUCCUGGUCGGACAUCAGGAGGUUAGUGCAAUGGCAUAAGCCAGCUUGACUGCGAGCGUGACGGCGCGAGCAGGUGCGAAAGCAGGUCAUAGUGAUCCGGUGGUUCUGAAUGGAAGGGCCAUCGCUCAACGGAUAAAAGGUACUCCGGGGAUAACAGGCUGAUACCGCCCAAGAGUUCAUAUCGACGGCGGUGUUUGGCACCUCGAUGUCGGCUCAUCACAUCCUGGGGCUGAAGUAGGUCCCAAGGGUAUGGCUGUUCGCCAUUUAAAGUGGUACGCGAGCUGGGUUUAGAACGUCGUGAGACAGUUCGGUCCCUAUCUGCCGUGGGCGCUGGAGAACUGAGGGGGGCUGCUCCUAGUACGAGAGGACCGGAGUGGACGCAUCACUGGUGUUCGGGUUGUCAUGCCAAUGGCACUGCCCGGUAGCUAAAUGCGGAAGAGAUAAGUGCUGAAAGCAUCUAAGCACGAAACUUGCCCCGA
rnacentral:rRNA from 1 species